rnacentral:lncRNA from 1 species
AUCAUCUGCAGUACCAUCAGCAACAGUAUCAACUGCAGUACCACCAGCAACAAUAUCUGCAGGACCAUCAGCAUCGCAUCAAGAUUUCCUGCGAUAUUG